UACGUAGGUGGCAAGCGUUGUCCGGAUUCACUGGGCGUAAAGCGCGCGCAGGCGGUCUUCUACGUCUGGGGGUGAAAACCCCGGGGCUCAACCCCCGGGGACUGCCUUGGAUACGGGGAAGACUUGAGGAUCGGAGAGGCAAGGGGAAUUCCACGUGUAGCGGUGAAAUGCGUAGAUAUUGGGAGGAACACCAGUGGCGAAGGCGGCUCACUGGACCGGUACUGACGCUGAGGCGCGAAAGCGUGGGGAGCAAACAGG
rnacentral:rRNA from 1 species